rnacentral:rRNA from 1 species
CAGCCGCCGCGGUAAUACGAAGGGGGCUAGCGUUGUUCGGAAUUACUGGGCGUAAAGCGCACGUAGGCGGAUCGAUCAGUCAGGGGUGAAAUCCCAGGGCUCAACCCUGGAACUGCCUUUGAUACUGUCGAUCUGGAGUAUGGAAGAGGUGAGUGGAACUGCGAGUGUAGAGGUGAAAUUCGUAGAUAUUCGCAAGAACACCAGUGGCGAAGGCGGCUCACUGGCCCGAUACUGACGCUGAGGUGCGAAAGCGUGGGGAGCAAACAGGAUUAGAUACCCCCGUAGUCCCUGUCUCUUAUAU